rnacentral:tRNA from 1 species
UGGGGGAUCGUCUAACGGCAGGACGGAGGACUCUGACUCCUUCAAUCUAGGUUCGAAUCCUAGUCCCCCAGCCA